AUUGAACGCUGGCGGCAUGCUUUACACAUGCAAGUCGAACGGCAGCGCGGGCUUCGGCCUGGCGGCGAGUGGCGAACGGGUGAGUAAUGCAUCUGAACGUGCCCACUAGUGGGGGAUAGCCCGGCGAAAGCCGGAUUAAUACCGCAUACGACCUGAGGGUGAAAGCGGGGGACCGAAAGGCCUCGCGCUAUUGGAGCGGCCGAUGUCGGAUUAGCUAGUUGUUGGGGUAAAGGCUUACCAAGGCGACGAUCCGUAGCUGGUCUGAGAGGACGACCAGCCACACUGGGACGGAGACACGGCCCAGACUCCUACGGGAGGCAGCAGUGGGGAAUGUUGGACAAUGGGGGCAACCCUGAUCCAGCCAUGCCGCGUGCGGGAAGAAGGCCUUCGGGUUGUAAACCGCUUUUGUUCGGGAAGAAAUCCUCUGGGCUAAUACCCCGGGGGGAUGACGGUACCGGAAGAAUAAGCACCGGCUAACUACGUG
rnacentral:rRNA from 1 species